CAACAACAGACUCGGUGAAAUUGUAAUUCCGGUGAAGAUGCCGGAUACCUGCGACAGGACGGAAAGACCCCAUGGAGCUUUACUGUAGCUUGACAUUGGGUCUUGGUACUACAUGUACAGGAUAGGUGGGAGGCUUUGAAACCAGGACGCCAGUUUUGGCGGAGCCAUCCUUGGGAUACCACCCUUGUAGUACUGGGACUCUAACCAUAGGCCAUGAAUCUGGUCUUGGGACACUGUCAGGUGGGCAGUUUGACUGGGGCGGUCGCCUCCCAAAAGGUAACGGAGGCGCUCAAAGGUUCUCUCAGUACGGUCGGAAAUCGUACGUAGAGUGUAAAGGCAAAAGAGAGCUUGAUUGCAAGACAUACAGGUCGAGCAAGGAUGAAAAUCGGACUUAGUGAUCCGGUGGUUCUGCGUGGAAGGGCCAUCGC
rnacentral:rRNA from 1 species